rnacentral:lncRNA from 10 species
UUGAAGACAUGCCUUCUGUCAGGCCGCUCCCCUGCCUCGGGCGGUCCCACCUCGAAGCCAAUGAGGGGCAGGCUGCGCUGGGCUUUCACAUCCUGGCGGGAGGAGGGACAGAGCUGGGGCCACCUUGGGGCUAGACCUUUCCCCCGCCCCAGCUUCUAACUGGUUUUGCAUAUGCUCUGUCUUCAGUCCCCUACUCAGGAACUCCCCUACUCAGGAACCUUCCGUGGCUCCAGUGUUAUCAACAGGAACAUGUCAGAACUGGGGCUAAAAUGCAGGCUGGUUUAAAUACCUGUCUCCCCCCACCCCCGCCUCUUCUCACAAAACUGCUGGGCUAGUCUCUUUAGCAUACCAAAUAAUGUUUUCAGGCCUUUGUCUAUGCUAUUGCCCCUAUCUGCAUACUUUUUUUUUUUUUUUUUUUUGAGACAGAGUCUUGCCCUGUUGCCCAGGCUGGAGUGCAGUGGCAUGAACUUGGCUCACUGCAACCUCUACCUCCCAGGUUCAAGCAAUUCUCCUGCCUCAGCUUCCUGAGUAGCUGGGACUACAGGCACACGUCACCACGCCAGGCUAAUUUUUGUAUUUUUAGUAGAGACGGGGUUUCACCAUGUUGGCCAGGCUGGUCUUGAACUCCUGAUCUCAGGUGAGCCACCUGCCUCGGCCUCUCAGAGUGCUGGGAUUACAGGCGUGAGCCACUGCGCUCGGUCCCAUCUGCAUACUCUUACCCACUCCAAAUUGGACCUAGCAGUUCCCCAUCUCUACUCCUUCCAGGAAGCCAGGCCCACAACUCAUCCUGGUUUUCCCUACAUACCACAACCACUCCUUGUCUCUAGCCAGUCUUUGUCUCUCAAGGGUUGGGGUUCUGAUUUCCUCUUAGAGAUAGGCUCACCUUAUCUUCCAAGGCUCACCUUAUCUUCCAAGGCCAAGGAGAGGUCAAGGACUGGAUCUGGCUUUGCCAGGUGGCUGAAAGGACCCGAAGGAGUAGGAUGCAUACCUGAGGGGCUCCGUAGAUAUACAGCACCAAGGGUUCAUUUUCAGGGACCACGAACCAUGCCUUGUGCCAUCCUUUGCCACCCUUCUCCAUGUAGUGCAGGAAGCUGCAGAUGACGCUGUUCUCUGCAGCCACUGAGGCCUGUUUCUGUGGCCAGAGACACCGGGCAUCAAUGUUGACAGAAGGCCUAGCCUGGCUCCUCCUAGCUUUAAUACCUCCUCAGUGUAGGGACUGCUAUUCCUAUCUCAGAUGAAGACGCUCAAGCUCAGGUGGCAGGAGUGAUUUGUCCAGUGCCACCCAGUGAAUCAGCUAGAGCUGAGAUUCAAAGCUAGGUUCGUCUGCCUCAUUUGGGCAACGGCUGCUGCCUCUACAGGCCAGUGGAAGGAGUGUGCGGAUCUCAGGCAUUCUUUCUUCAGUCAGAGCAUUCAUUCCUCAAGCCAUUCACACAUUUAGGCCUCAUGCUUUUUUCUGUCUUUCAUCACAUCCAUUUCCUACACUCAUUGAGAGGUAAUCUAGCAUUGUGGUUUUAAGGGGGUAUGUGGGUGGUUAAUGAAGUCUGGCUUAGAAUCCCAGCUCUAGAUGAAAAUGUAUUGACUUGGAGAGCAAAGAGAGCUGAUGUGAGAAUUAAAUGAAUUAAUAUAUGCAAAGUGCUUAGAAUAGUUCCUGGCACAGAGUAAGUACUCUUUUAAGUGUUAAAUAAAUACCUAGAUUUGUUUUUAAAAAAAUCUCCAAAAUGUGUGUUUGUGCAUAUAUGCCUAGAAAGAUAGGAUAAGCCCUCACAAUGGUAACUUUUGGGUAGAAGGGAUACGGUAUUUUAUUAUUUUUUGUUUAUAUUGGUCUACUUAUCCUACUUUGUAAUAACAAAAGACAAUUUUUAAAUUUUUUUUUUUUUUUUGAGACGGAGUUUUGCUGUUGUUGCCCAGGCUGGAGUACAAUGGCGCGAUCUUGGCUCACCGCAACCUCUGCUUCCCAGGUUCAAGCGAUUUGCCUGCCUCAGCCCUCCCAAGUAGCUGGGAUUGCAGGCGUGCGCCACCAUGCCUGGCUAAUUUUGUGUUUUUAGUAGAGAUGGGGUUUCUCCACAUUGGUCAGGCUGGUCCUGAACUCCCGACCUCCGGUGAUUCACCCGCCUCAGCCUCCCAAAGUGCUGGGAUUACAGGCAUGAGCCACUGUGCCCAGCCAAUUUUUUAAUUUUAAAAAAAUCCAGUGCUGCCACUCAUUUGCUGUGUAAUUUGGGCAAAUGACCCCUCUGGGCCUCAGUUUCCUCGUUUGUAAAAUAAAGAGAACAAUAGCAUGGGCAGAUUAGUUACUGUGGGGAUUAAAUGUCUAA